rnacentral:rRNA from 1 species
UACGUAGGUGGCAAGCGUUGUCCGGAUUUACUGGGCGUAAAGAGCGCGCAGGCGGUCGUUCAAGUCGCGUGUGAAAGCCCCCGGCUCAACUGGGGAGGGUCACGCGAUACUGAUCGACUCGAAGGCAGGAGAGGGUAGUGGAAUUCCCGGUGUAGUGGUGAAAUGCGUAGAUAUCGGGAGGAACACCAGUGGCGAAGGCGGCAUCCUGGACCGACAUUGACGCUGAGGAGCGAAAGCUAGGGGAGCAAACGGG